GGAUUUUCUGUUGGCGUUGCUGGACUCCGGUUUUUGUUCGAGUUUUGAAGGAGGAUUUGGCCAGGUGAGCGUCAUUUGGUGUUUGCACAACUGCAGCAGGAAAACAAAUAUGGCGGACCAACCCUAGUAUAACGGUCUUCUUCGAGGAUGAAGAUCAUUACCAUCAUUAUCAUGUUUUCCACUGGUGAUGCACUUGUUGGACAGAUCAAAAAUUCAAGCCUCCCUCUUUCAUCCUUCAACCCCCC